rnacentral:rRNA from 1 species
AAACCAGCACCUCAAGUGGUCAGGAUGAUUAUUGGGCCUAAAGCAUCCGUAGCCUGCUUUGUAAGUUUCCGGUUAAAUCCAUUAGCUCAACUGAUGGGCCGCCGGAAAAACUGCAAAGCUAGGGAGUGGGAGAGGUAGACGGUACUCAGUAGGAAGGGGUAAAAUCCUUUGAUCUAUUGAUGACCACCAGUGGCGAAGGCGGUCUACCAGAACACGUUCGACGGUGAGGGAUGAAAGCUGGGGGAGCAAACCGGAUUAGAAACCCGAGUAGUCC